GAUCAAGGGAAUUAGAGAGAGGAGCUUCAUGCUUCGGGUCAGGGAAGGAAAGACAUAGAAUUUGGAUUUUUCUUCUUCGUAGAGUUUUGGGAAGACUGAGGCAAUCGCUGCUGAAUUCAGUGUUGUAAUGGUGAAUCGGGAUUUUUAAAUGAAGUGGGUUUGAAUACUCUUGACUGUUUUAUAAAAUCGAGUUACGUCUGUGAUUGAAGGAUUAAAAGGGUGUCUAUAGGAUUGAGUAUGCGGAGUGAAUGAAAUUUAUUGGGUUAAUCUAACAGGACAGUCAGUGGAUACAAGAUCGUAAGUACAAA
rnacentral:lncRNA from 1 species